ACAGAGGUGUCGAGCGUUGUUCGGAUUUACUGGGCGUAAAGGGAGCGAGGGCGGUUCGGGGGGUGGGAGGGGAAAUUUCCGGCUUAAACUGGAAACUGGAUUUGAAACUACGGUUCUUGAGGUCAUGGGAGGAUGGCUGAAUUCUUUGUGUAGCGGUGAAAUGCGUAGAUAUCGAGAGGAACACCGUUGGCGAAGGCGGCCAUCUGGACUGAUACUGACGCUAAGGCACGAAGGCCGGGGGAGCAAACAG
rnacentral:rRNA from 1 species